UCCUCUCCGUCAAAGAGGGGUCGUGGGGGUCUGGCUGCAGCCAAAUACAGCGGUCCCGGGGCGGCUUGGUCGGCUAGCCAGCUGCCGUUUGUAAGAGACGAAAACAUCUACGACUUGAGAGGAGCCCGUAGCUUCCCCACGCUGGAAGACGAUGGUCGGGCAGAUGUACUUCCCUGCACCCCUCCCUCGUUCGAGGAGGCCACCACAGCCUCCAUCGCCACCACGCUCUCCUCCACCACCUCCCUUUCCAUCCCAGAACGCUCCCCGUCGGACACCUCCGAACACCCACGCUACAGGAGACACACCCAGUCCAGCCAUGAAGAAACGUAAGUAAAACACACU